rnacentral:rRNA from 1 species
UACGGGGGGGGCAAGCGUUGUCCGGAUUUAUUGGGCGUAAAGAGCGUGUAGGCGGCCAGGUAGGUCCGUUGUGAAAACUGGAGGCUUAACCUCCAGCUGUCGAUGGAAACCAUCUGGCUAGAGUCCGGAAGAGGAGACUGGAAUUCCUGGUGUAGCGGUGGAAAUGCGCAGAUAUCAGGAGGAACACCGGUGGCGAAGGCGGGUCUCUGGGCAGUAACUGACGUGAGGAGCGAAAGCGUGGGGAGCGAACAGG